CUCUGAGUUGUAGAACUUGGGGGGUCCAUUUGCAACACCAAAUUUUUCUGGGUCCAACUGGUUCACUGGGUGUUUGAAGUCGACGACCGAAGGACCGUUGGUCGAACAGAGUAUGAAGCCUAUUGACCCACUGAGUUUGGAAAGGAACCAUCAGAAAACUACAGAUUGUGCAGAAGCAUAAAAUUAAAGAAUUAUUGGCUUUGGUUUUGGUUGGUUUGCCUAGGAUAUGAAGGAACAGAGGUCCAAGCGUAGUUUACAGAGCCCUUGAAGAUGUUACGACAGCGAGUUAUGGUGUCUUCCAUGGUGAAAUUCUUGAUCCACACGCUGUCUGCUUGAGCCGACAGUACUCCACCUGGCUUCAGAGCCUUUGCGAUCGACUUAAGGAAGCCUUCAUCCGAAAGCUCGGUUGCAUAAGCUCCUGAUAUCCACAUUCAACUAUGGCUUCAGCUUCUCUUUAAGUUCUUGUGAAGAAUGAGUGAAAAAUCACAUACCCAUCCCCCGAAAUGCAUCAAUUAUGAUAGAAUCAUAGGUGCCUGGAGGAACAGACUUGAUGAAGGCCACACCUGAAAUAACAACAACGUUUACGACAGUUAGACAACUUUACGAAACACAAACCCGACAACACUCCUCGAACAACAUGUAGUUUUCUGUUUCCUACCAUUGCCUAUGUGUACAUUCACACGAGGAUCCACGUACCCGAUAGCAAUGUCCGGGAAAAACUCCUUGUAAACCUGAAGGUAAAACACUCAUAAUUUCAUCCAUGCA